UACGUAGGGGGCAAGCGUUACCCGGAUUCACUGGGCGUAAAGCGCGUGUAGGCGGCUGGCCAAGCGUGGUGUGAAAUCUCCGGGCUCAACCCGGAAACUGCACUGCGAACUGGCCUGGCUGGAGUGCAGGAGAGGGAUGCGGAAUUCACGGUGUAGCGGUGAAAUGCGUAGAUAUCGUGGGGAACACCAGUGGCGAAGGCGGCAUCCUGGCCUGUAACUGACGCUGAGACGCGAAAGCGUGGGGAGCGAACAGG
rnacentral:rRNA from 1 species